GGGAACGACGGGGCCGCGGGGGCGGGAUGGCGGGGGGGGUGGGGGGUGUCCGGUGUUACGGGGCGUAAAGGGCAUGCAGGGGGGGGGGCGCGGUGGGGGUGACAGCGGGCGGCUUAACUGCGCGAGGACACGAAAGACGGCCCGACUUGAGAGCGCGAGAGGGACACGGAAUUCCGGGUGGAGUGGUGAAAUGCGUAGAGAUCCGGAGGAACACCGAAGGCGAAGGCAGUGUCCUGGCGCGCCUCUGACGCUGAGGUGCGAAAGCCAGGGGAGCGAACGGAAUUAGAUACCCGAGUAGUC
rnacentral:rRNA from 1 species